UACGUAGGGUGCAAGCGUUAAUCGGAAUUACUGGGCGUAAAGCGUGCGCAGGCGGUUAUGUAAGACAGUUGUGAAAUCCCCGGGCUCAACCUGGGAACUGCAUCUGUGACUGCAUAGCUAGAGUACGGUAGAGGGGGAUGGAAUUCCGCGUGUAGCAGUGAAAUGCGUAGAUAUUGGGAGGAACACCGGUGGCGAAAGCGACCAUCUGGGGCAUUGCUGACGCUGAGGUUCGAAAGCUCGGGGAGCAAACAGG
rnacentral:rRNA from 1 species